rnacentral:rRNA from 1 species
AGCUUGCUACCUGACCUAGCGGCGGACGGGUGAGUAAUGCUUAGGAAUCUGCCUAUUAGUGGGGGACAACAUCUCGAAAGGGAUGCUAAUACCGCAUACGUCCUACGGGAGAAAGCAGGGGACCUUCGGGCCUUGCGCUAAUAGAUGAGCCUAAGUCGGAUUAGCUAGUUGGUGGGGUAAAGGCCUACCAAGGCGACGAUCUGUAGCGGGUCUGAGAGGAUGAUCCGCCACACUGGGACUGAGACACGGCCCAGACUCCUACGGGAGGCAGCAGUGGGGAAUAUUGGACAAUGGGGGGAACCCUGAUCCAGCCAUGCCGCGUGUGUGAAGAAGGCCUUUUGGUUGUAAAGCACUUUAAGCGAGGAGGAGGCUACCGAGAUUAAUACUCUUGGAUAGUGGACGUUACUCGCAGAAUAAGCACCGGCUAACUCUGUGCCAGCAGCCGCGGUAAUACAGAGGGUGCAAGCGUUAAUCGGAUUUACUGGGCGUAAAGCGCGCGUAGGUGGCCAAUUAAGUCAAAUGUGAAAUCCCCGAGCUUAACUUGGGAAUUGCAUUCGAUACUGGUUGGCUAGAGUAUGGGAGAGGAUGGUAGAAUUCCAGGUGUAGCGGUGAAAUGCGUAGAGAUCUGGAGGAAUACCGAUGGCGAAGGCAGCCAUCUGGCCUAAUACUGACACUGAGGUGCGAAAGCAUGGGGAGCAAACAGGAUUAGAUACCCUGGUAGUCCAUGCCGUAAACGAUGUCUAC